rnacentral:rRNA from 1 species
UGCCGCGGUGAAUACGUACUCGCCUGCAUGAAGCCGGAAUCGCUAGUAAUCGCGGAUCAGCAUGCCGCGGUGAAUACGUUCCCGGGCCUUGUACACACCGCCCGUCACACCACGAGAGUUUGUAACACCCGAAGUCGGUGGGGUAACCCUUACGGGAGCCAGCCGCCGAAGGUGGGACAGAUGAUUGGGGUGAAGUCGUAACAAGGUAGCCGUAUCGGAAGGUGCGGCUGGAUCACCUCCUUU